AAUUAAUUUUUUAAAUCUUGUUGAAAUAAAGCAAGUUACUUAAUUUAAUAGUAAAAUAAACUUUCAUUUUGAAAUAAGAAAAAAUAAAUUAUCAACAUAUGUUUAGGAAAUAAAAAGUUUUACUUUUUUAUUUAAGCUUUGCCAACAUGUUUAAUAGUAAAAUAUUCAUUUCAUGUGACCUAUUACUUCUUAUCAACUUUUUAAUCACAUAUUUCAUUACUUUUAUCGAAAUCUACUAAAAAUCUAAUUUUUAGCAAAACUAUGCAACAACGUUCCAAACAUGUCAUCACGUGACAAACCGUAUUGAAUACGAGCAUAAAAAGAGAAUUGCAUAUCGAGUCUCCCUUAAGACUUGUCAUUUUUUGCUAACAUCACUGUUCGUAACUAAUUUUUCCAGGCAUUGAUCAAAUAGUCCAUCUUACCAUUUACAACCGUUGAAAAAUGUUUAUAACCUCAUCUAUCAAAUUGAAGGGUUGAGACAAGUACUUCUGUCCUCACUAGAUGCUUUGAAAAUGAUUGUAUUCCAGCAGAACUUUAGCUUAGUUUUUUUUUUUCAUUAGUGCACAUUUUUGUUUCCUUGUAAAUUAGUUAUAAGAAAAAGUUCAAAUCAAACUUUAAUUUUAACAA
rnacentral:lncRNA from 1 species